GGUUCGGUGGUGUAGUUGGUUAUCACGCUUGCCUCACAUCUACAAAGAUGUUAGGUCGCAAGAGGUCUCCGGUUCGAACCCGGGCCGAAUCA
rnacentral:tRNA from 1 species